UACGUAGGGUGCAAGCGUUGUCCGGAAUUAUUGGGCGUAAAGAGCUCGUAGGCGGUUUGUCGCGUCUGCUGUGAAAACUCAGGGCUUAACCCUGAGCCUGCAGUGGGUACGGGCAGACUAGAGUGUGGUAGGGGAGAUCGGAAUUCCUGGUGUAGCGGUGGAAUGCGCAGAUAUCAGGAGGAACACCGGUGGUGUAGACGGCUUUCUGGACCGUAACUGACGCUGAGACACGAAAGCGUGGGUAGCAAACAGG
rnacentral:rRNA from 1 species